rnacentral:rRNA from 1 species
UAGGGAAUCUUCCACAGUGGGCGAAAGCCUGAUGGAGCAACGCCGCGUGUGUGAUGAAGGGUUUCGGCUCGUAAAACACUGUUGUAAGAGAAGAAUGACAUUGAGAGUAACUGUUCAAUGUGUGACGGUAUCUUACCAGAAAGGAACGGCUAAAUACGUGCCAA